rnacentral:lncRNA from 1 species
GGAGAAAAGAUCACUGCAUUUGGUCCAGCAUCAAAAGUGUACGCUGCCUGGAAUGUUCUCACAUCAAUGUAACGAAAUCUGAUUAAAUAAAAAAAUACCUGAGGACUUCCUUCCAGUGCUCCACGAGUCCAAUGAUCCUUCUGGAGGUAUCGUUCAUGUAGCAAAUUGGUGGAGAGGUGUCUAGGCAAGUUGCAUGGAACUGGUUGCUGUCCGCGCAAGUCAACUUGGCGAAGGAAGAGAAAUCGCGUUUGGACAGAGCUUCUUCCAUCUCAGUGAUUCUCCCUGUUUGGGAAUAUAAACUUACAUAUGCCAGGAAGUCAAAAUCGAGAGAGAAAAAAUCGAUAAUGUAGGAGUGGACUUGUCUGGACAGACUCUUGCAUGCCCGAUGUAUUGCUCACUUCUUUCUGCCGCGAACUCACUUAGAUAAAAUCACAAUAGGUACACUCAGAACUUCCAAAGCUUUAUACUUGCCCACAAAUCACAAACUUGUGAUGCUCUACAAACGGAAAUCUUUUCCAUCGUCCCUCUUUACAACACACAUAAAAGCAUGUUAAUAUCAAAGUUUUUCUACGACAAAACAAACUUGACAAAUCCUCCAUGGAACCAUGCCUUUCUUCUUUAUUUCCUCGGCUUGAGACGACUUGGACGAGGAUUUAAUCCAAAUGCCGGGAGCGCUCCUGGCGGAUUCAAUCCAAUCCUGGGAGCGGAAACGGUCCAGGUGGUCUUAAUGCACAGGGUGGAGGCAUGAGAAAACCGGGGUGGUCUCCUAGUCCAGGAAGAAAUGCCAGUGGAGGCUAUGGAAGUGGGGUGAUUGCACACCAGAUCCAUCCAGAAUUUCCAAGACGAUGGCGAUUCCCCAGCAGCGCCAGCCGCCGCGAGGAGCACACGGAGAUCAUCACCUUCUACGAUGCCGCCGGGGAGCUGGACGAUCGGAUAUUCGCAGCCUCUCAGGAGCCAGCCAAUGAUCGGGUCCCCGCCCCACUUCUGGCGAUGCGCUCCAGCACCGCUCCAGCUUCUCCGGCCCACGAUAUCGACCUGGGCUUGUUUAUGCUACCAGGAGUAGCGGAGCGACUCUUUCAUCGAUCCCGAGGAUGAGAAUGCUUGGAGAGAUGCCGUGGCGAUGCUCCACCAUUGUCACCAUUCGUCCAGUUGACAAUGGCAGAUAUCAAGACCGACGUGAACGCUGUACGACCACCACCUAGGGGUCUCCCAGAACUGGGUUCGUUCCAUCAAACACCUCCAUCUCUCUCCAUGGAGGCUGUGGGGUGGAGGAUGUGAACAAGGACCUUUGCUACUAGCCUGGUAAGUUUUUGUUGUGUGUCCAAAAGUGGAGAAUCAUUUGUCAUUGCAGGUGUUCCUGGCAGACCCAGAUGCCCUUCUCCUUGUUGCGGAAGAGACCAAAGUCGGCAGCAAAUCUCAGUUUCUGCUCUCCGAGAAAGUACUUGUAAAACACUUGCAGCUCCUCGAGCGUGGGGAUUCUCUUGUGUAGUGGGUUCUCAUGCGUCGGAGACUCAUCCAAACGUUUGUCUAUGGCUCCAAAUAGCUUACCCACGACCUCCUUGAAUACGUCGUCUUUAACGCUCUUGGGCAGCGAUGGCAAAGGUACCCCAAGUGUAGACACCAAUGCAAGUUUUCCCGCGAAGAAUAAGAUCUUGAGGGCAGGAAUCAGCACGGGAGCAGCCUUUGUCCACCACUCGGGAUCGACUCUGAUGGGAAAUCCCUUUUGAUCUUCCACCGGAUGGCAGCCACCGUACUCGCACAGGAAAUGCAGCUUCCAACUGGAACCAAAAGCCGAGGAUGAAAACCGCUGCAAGAUAUUCUUGUUGUCGACGAAGUAUGGAUACUUGGGUUCCUUUGAGUCCCACUGCAACGCCAGCUUGGACAUGAUCCUAUCACUCUGCAGCUGGACUGAUGCCAGUUUCUGCAACACCCUCUCCUCCAGCUUGGAGAUUCGAGAAAUGACCCGGUCGGCCUCUUUGGUGACAUGAUUCUUGAUGUGCCUCUCCAGAAUUUUGAUCUGCGCCUGCAGAAUUUUGACUGCAUCCUGAAGUGUGAUGUCCUCCGACUUAUCAAUGCAAGCACUCGUUGUCUCCAAAUCUUCAGCUUCUACACACUCCUGCACCUCGUCUUUGAUGGCGUCCAGGAGGUCUACACGAGUUGCAAAGUAUCGCUCCCGCUCUUCCGGCAACACCAUCUUCAGCACCUGACUGUAUUCGAACUUCCAAUGAUCUUCCGAAGGCCAUGCAUACUUGUAGAGCAAGUUCUUCUCCAGGACCUCGGCAAGCGGAACCACUUGAACUGGAGGCGAGCUCGUGAACUCCAAGUUCAAGAGCUUCACGCACUCUGGCUUGAUGAUCUUCUCUUCCAGCUCAAUGGCCGGGCAGCCCCAGUUGUACGCACCACAUAUCUCACUGAUGCAUUUCUUAAUUUUGAUGAAGAGCCUUCCUGCCUCGUCAAGAUUUGACUCCUCAGGUAUGCAAGCUAGCACGUCGAUCCAAUGCCGGUCGUUCCAAUGACCCCUCUGGCCUCCAACUUUGACGAUCAUCUCAAUGUUGUUCUCACCCAGGUGCCACCAGCCUUGCCCCACAGUGUAGGCGGAUGAUAAGCUCGCAAGCCUGACCUGUAGCAUUGUAAAUAUACCUGUUGGCAGCAGCAUCUUCUCUGAAUCCUUGCAUUCGAGCCUCCUCCCCCAGAAAGUGGUGGUGUCGUCAUCCCCAGCCAUCGAACCGGCUGGUAAAUUUGACCACGAUUGGAUUCUCUCGGUUAGGAGUGACAGGACAAUGGCUCGUUUAGUUUUCUGAUCCAAUAGCAACACUCCUAGCCUGUUCAGCGAGGUGAUAAUAUAGGGAAGAUCGUCCGGUGUGCAGCCUUUCUUUGGAAGCAUGUCUUCGACCUGGAUUAUCGGCAUCCAAGUGGGAGGAGGCUGCUCCGCUGGCAGGUUGUCGAUCGUCCUAUUCUGGCGAGGUAAGAAAACUCCGAUAAUAUCUCGAACAAACCACUGAACAUCGAGAAUGAGAAAAACCUGGUCUUCAUCGUCCACCUCCUGAUCAAAAUAGAUCACCUCCCCCAUAUCAUGCAGAUGGCUCACUGCGACUUUGAAUAGUCGAUGGUCCUGAAUGCCCAACUUGCUCCUGAAGUGCUUCAUGCGUAUAAGCUUUUCUUGUUGAAACUUCUUUGCUUUGGCUAGAAUGACAGCUUGACAGAUCUCAGGUACCUUCGGUCUACUUGUUAGCAGCUCAUCCAGUUUGAGCUUUAGGUGCUCUUUCAAAACUUUCACGCUCUUGACCUUAGUGGCCACCAAACCGAAGAGGCUGUUUUCAGCAUGCCCAAAGUCGAUCACACUUGAGUACUGCCGUACCAUUUCUUUGCAUCUUGACUUUGCCAGGUCUGACAUCGUCCAACCGUCUUGUGGCAGGAUACUGUCCUCAAAAUAGUUCAGCACAAUCAGAACUUUUGGUUUGUGCUUGGUCAAGGUUCUAUGUGACACUAUGAACCUUAACCAGUAUUGAAGUUGGUCUUCCCACGUUCGAAUAUCUUCCUUACCAGGAGCCUUGGAGACGAUUAGAAAGAGGUCCUUGUCGCUCCCUCUGAUGAAAUAGUGGUGGAAAGCAUGGAAUUCCGGUUGACCAGCCAAGUCACACAUUAGCAGGGUCUUCUUAUCAAAUUCAAUCUUUUCCAUAUCAAUCCCGUAGGUGGAUAGAUGGCGCUGCAACUUGGGAAGGAUACCUUUUUGUCUGGAGAGAUUUUUCCGUAUUGUAGUCUUCCCGACUCCAGAAUUUCCACAGAUGAAAAGCUUGGCCAUGGUUGGUUCCACCCGCUUUUGGGCUGCAAGGCCCUCAAUACGAUAUAACUUGUUGCGCUCCAUGAUCUGUGAGCAGUACGUAGCCAUAAUAUCGCUGUCCCAAUUCGUUCUAAAUGUCUCCAGGGGGCAAUUAAAAUUCUCGUUGAGGUGCUCAACAAUCUGUGCCAGGCCAUCCAGCUUACCAAUAUCAAGGCGUUGAAUUUUGCAACUAGGUAACAACUCCAGGAGCAAUUGACCUUUACAGCUUAGAAAGCUUUUAUCUCGGAUGUUUUCUGGCUCGUAUUCAAUAUCAAAGACGAGACUGCGGAGGCUUGAGGUUAAAAGCUCACCCAUGACAGAUAGCAGCUUCUCUUCCUCGUUCAUGAAACCAGAAUAACCUGAAUGCACUUCUAGUGAGUUGAGAACCACCGAGUCCUUGCAUAGCUUCCCAAGUUCUCCAAUGAAACCAGUGCUCUGUACCCCUCUGAGCAUCAAAUGGUGCAGCUUGCAAUGCUUACUUCUCAAACCUGUCAUAAACUCGCUGGCACUCUUGUCAAAGGCAAUGAGCUUCUGCUGGUACACAUCCAAACCGAGGUCAACCAGCUUACAAUCUGGGCUUUGAAGUGUGCGGCCCAAAUGCGACAAGAUCUGAGAGUUAAGGGUGCGGCGAUAGAGCCUGAGCCUCCAAAUGUUGCACGCAGGAUUGACGAGCCGUUGGACGAGCAGUUGUAGAGCCUGCUCUUCAUGGAUAUUACCGUCCACUGUCAGCUCCAAGCUCUCCAGGGAAGGAACCGAUGUCAAAGCCGAACAGAGGCGCUCAUUUAGACCAUUUUGUGGAAAUUUGAUGGAUAAGUGCCGCCAGGAGCAAGAUGGAGCCUGGAGAGCACAAAUCAGACCUUCUAACGUAGAAUUCUGGUCGACUUCUAGAUCCAAGGAUGCCAAACUGGUGAGACUUUGCAAGGACAUGUCAUCACAAUAAGAUGCUGAGAGGUGUUUCAGCUUCUUUCCUAAACGCUCUAGGAUAGCCAUCCGGUUCUCAUCCAACUCAACCCUUCCAGGGACAGAUACCCAAACAUCACGAUCCAAACCAUUCAACUUAUCAAGAUCCUCAAACUCAAACUCUUUAAACUGGACAUCAAACUCCAAGGAUGACAAACCAGCAAAGAUCCUAUCUAGCUGCGCAUUAGAAAGCUGCCUAAUGGCCAUAACUCGGAAACUCUCAAUGAAGCAAGUGCAUAGCCAAGAAGAACUCUGUAUGCUCGCUGCUAAGUACGAGUUGUGAGGAAGAAUUAGUCAGUGGGAGGAGCCAGAAAACGUUACCUCUCACAUGUAAGAGCCAGCUGGUGGAAACUUUCUUAUUAGUAUAAUAACAUCAUCAAUAAUACUAAAUGUAUCCAAUUGCAAGGUACACAUCAAACACCGAGGCCUUUCGUAAGCCUCGUGGGUACUCUCCCCACGUUCGGCCUCUAGCCACACAUAAACAGCAUAUAGAUAAGCUCAACAAGUUCCAUCCGAAGGAACAGGAAGCGUUGACGUGUAACUGCAAAUGUAAGAGUACAAGUUUCACGUUUUACAACCUUAGCCAGUAAGAGUGUCCAGAUCUCGGCCCAAGUUCCCCAACAAAAGCUUUGGAACCAAUCAUUCGUGCUCUUUUGUCUUGGAUUCUCCAUUAGUAACCGCUUUUGAGAAGACUAUGGCUAAGUGGUCUUUCCUUGAAAUCAUUCACACAAGGAAGCGCCAUUCCCUGGCCGGGUGCAAAUUAGAUAAGCAAGCUCUCCAUGUCCUUCGUCUCUCUUUGGAGAUUCUAUAGGGCGCUCCAGGGAACGAAUAUCUUCCAGUUUAUCAAUGCCUAAAGCCUCCAAAAGCUCUGUGCUACCAACAACGUAGCUGCAAACCACACAAACAAAUGCCUUAGGACUACUAAUUGUGAGAAAGAAGAAAUCGAUCUGUCUUACCUUGAUAGAUUCAUGCCUUCCGGUGGGGGAAACUCGUAGAGCAAACGAUGCAGCAAUGCUCCUCCAGAUUUCUGGGGAACAAAGAUUACUGCAUUUGGUCCAGCAUCAAAAGUGUAUGCUGCCUAGCAGUUCUCACACCAAUCAACCACGAGUCACGAAGUCGAAAUCGAAGUAUACCUGAGGACUCCCUUCGGACUUGUUCCAGCGCUCCACGAGUCCAAUGAUCCUUCUGGAGGUAUCGUUCAUGUAGAAAAUUGGUGGAGAGGUGUCGAGGCAAGUUGCAUGGAACUGGUUGCUGUCCGCGCAAGUCAACUUGGCGAAG